UGCAAGUCGAACGCGCAGUUUUCUGUAGCAAUACAGGAAGCGGGCGCGUGGCGAACGGGUGCGUAACACGUGGGUAACCUACCCCCGAGUGGGGAAUAACCCCGCGAAAGCGGGGCUAAUACCGCAUAACAUUCCGAUGCCGCAUGGUAUUGGGAUCAAAGCCCGCAAGGGCGCUGGAGGAGGGGCCCGCGGCCGAUUAGCUUGUUGGCGAGGUAAUGGCUCACCAAGGCGAUGAUCGGUAGCCGGUCUGAGAGGAUGGCCGGUCACACUGGAACUGAGACACGGUCCAGACUCCUACGGGAGGCAGCAGUGGGGAAUCUUGCGCAAUGGGCGAAAGCCUGACGCAGCGACGCCGCGUGGGGGAUGAAGCCCUUCGGGGUGUAAACCCCUUUCGACCCGGACGAAACCCCGCAAGGGAUUGACGGUACGGGGAGAAGAAGCCCCGGCUAACUACGUGCCAGCAGCCGCGGUAAAACGUAGGGGGCCAGCGUUGCUCGGAAUUAUUGGGCGUAAAGGGUCCGUAGGCGGUGUGGCAAGUCGGAAGUGAAAUCCUGGGGCUUAACUCCAGGGCUGCUCCCGAAACUGCCGCGCUAGAGUGUGGGACAGGCGAGUGGAAUUGCAGGUGUAGCGGUGAAAUGCGUAGAUAUCUGCAGGAACACCAGAGGCGAAAGCGGCUCGCUGGACCACAACUGACGCUGAGGGACGAAAGCUAGGGGAGCAAACAGGAUUAGAUACCCUGGUAGUCCUAGCCCUAAACGAUCAGGACUGGGCGUGAGUACCGUUUGGUACUCGUGCCGGACUAACGCGUUAAGUCCUGCGCCUGGGGAGUACGGUCGCAAGCUGAAACUCAAAGGAAUUGACGGGGGCCCGCACAAGCGGUGG
rnacentral:rRNA from 1 species